UACAGAGGGUGCGAGCGUUGUUCGGAAUUAUUGGGCGUAAAGGGUGCGUAGGCGGCUUUUUAAGUCUGGUGUGAAAUCUCCCGGCUCAACUGGGAGGGUGCGCCGGAUACUGAGGGGCUAGAGUGUGGGAGAGGAAAGUGGAAUUCCUGGUGUAGCGGUGAAAUGCGUAGAUAUCAGGAGGAACACCGGUGGUGUAAACGGCUUUCUGGACCAUAACUGACGCUGAGGCACGAAAGCGUGGGUAGCAAACAGG
rnacentral:rRNA from 1 species